ensembl:snRNA U2 U2 spliceosomal RNA
GUCGCUUUUCAGCCUUUUGGCUAAGAUCAAGUGUAGUAUCUGUUCUUAUCAGAAUUGAUUUCAUAAGUUUUCAAAAAAUUAUUUCAAAGGCAGAUUGACAUAGAGCCAAAGAUCUUCCUUCUGCUGGUUCAUUACCUAAAUACUUGAAAUAGCCAGGACUGGACCAGGCUAA